rnacentral:rRNA from 1 species
UACGUAGGGGGCUAGCGUUGUCCGGAAUCAUUGGGCGUAAAGCGCGCGUAGGCGGCCAGAUAAGUCCGGUGUGAAAGUCACAGGCUCAACCUGUGAAUGCCGCUGGAAACUGUCUGGCUUGAGUCCGGAAGGGGCGAGUGGAAUUCCAGGUGUAGCGGUGAAAUGCGUAGAUAUCUGGAGGAACACCGGUGGCGAAGGCGGCAUCCUGGACCGACACUGACGCUGAGGAGCGAAAGCCAGGGGAGCAAACGGG